GCGGCCGUGGUGGAAUUGGUAGACACACAGCGUUGAGGUCGCUGUGGCCCAUAAGGCCUUGGAAGUUCAAGUCUUCUCGGCCGCACCA
rnacentral:tRNA from 1 species